AAUGAACGCUGGCGGCAUGCCUAACACGUGCAAGUCGAACGAAGGCUUCGGCCCUAGUGGCGCCCGGGUGCGUAACGCGUGGGAAUCUGCCCUCAGGUUCGGAAUAACAGCGAGAAAUUGCUGCUAAUACCGGAUGAUAUCGCGAGAUCAAAGAUUUAUCGCCUGAGGAUGAGCCCGCGUAGGAUUAGCUAGUUGGUGUGGUAAAGGCGCACCAAGGCGACGAUCCUUAGCUGGUCUGAGAGGAUGAUCAGCCACACUGGGACUAGGACACGGCCCGGACUCCUACGGGAGGCAGCAGUGGGGAACAUUGGACAAUGGGCGAAAGACUGAUCCAGCAAUGCCGCGUGAGUGAUGAAGGCCGUAGGGUUGAAAAGCUCUUUUACCUGUGAUGAUAAUGACAGUGCCGGGAGAAUAAGCCCCGGCUAACUCCGUGCCAGCCGCCGCAGUAA
rnacentral:rRNA from 1 species